GCAUCUGAAGUUAGGAUCGAACCUGGAGAAAGGAGCCACUAGGCAGCAGUGUUAACUGCUGCACCACUAUGGAUGUUUUCCUUGGGAGAGGAAUUUAUAACCACAGGCUAUAAGAAUAAGAGGUCAUGCAGUUAAAGUGGUUUAAAGAGAAGUUUCUUCACAGAAAGUAUCAUAAGUCUUUGGAAUACUCUAGCCCCACAGAAGUGUGGAAGCAGAACAAUUGAAUAUAUUUAAGGCUGUUGAAGAUGUUUGGAUGACAAUGGAACAACAAGUCAUGGAAACAUGCAGGAUGCAGAAGUAAAGCCAUAAUUAGAUGAGUUUUACUAGGUGGGAUUCCCUCUACUUUUCAGAAAAAUUGCAGAAGUAGAAGACUUUUUUUUACUUUCAAAGGUCUGCAGAGAUAUAUGACCGCAAGAUCCAGUCCUGUGUCACUGAGUCAUCCUUGAAAGACUACCAUAUAUUCAGGAGAUGACAGAUCAGAUUUUAAUCACGGCAUAGAAAAAGUCUUCCCCAUGUUCUGCCCCCACAGGCCAUAGACUUACUAAACAUGUAAACCACAUUAUGAAGAAGCACAGCAGGCAGCUAAAGAAAAUAUCUACAUGAAGCCAGCAGCUGAAAAUGGCAUUCUUAUAAGGACAGCUAACUGGAGAGAGUUCUGGAUAUACUUACAAUAAUUAUCAAGGAAGUUACAAUAUAUAAAUAAUUAUCCACAAGCUCAAUAUGUGGUGUCCAUGAGAUUUCACUCAGAGAUUCACAAUGUAGGAAGAAGGCCUUGAAAAGCAUUGACCUAGUGGACCCAGCAUCUGUGAUUAUCUUGCUUCUGCGAAUUACUUACACGAGGCUACUUGAUAAGCCGGGGUUCUUUUGAAGACUCUGACCUGGAGUUGCAUGCUGACUAUGAUUCUUUGUGGGAAUAGGACCCACUCGGGAUUUCACGACUAGCCGCUGUUCGGCACACCAAGGGAUCGGCCCAAGAGCUCCGUUCGCCGGAGAAGCAAGAUUUCAUGGCUCUGAAGAUGGGGGGAGCAGAGAAACUGAUGUGAACUUUAAAGUGUUUAGAGAAAAGGUUGGAAUUAAGUACAGACUGAGUACUAGGAAACAAAACCCAAGGCUGAAAUGCAUGUCCGUGUCUAAGAGGUGCCACAUUUGCUGAUUGUAAGUAUGCCAGAACAUAUUUUAUAGACUUAACAUGAACUGUUAUACUGAUCGCAUUGAGGUGUGAUCUUAUAGUUGAAAGGUAAGCCAAAUGAUGUCUACUAUUACUAAAGUAGUGAAAUAAUUAUGGAGCAUUACUCAAGUCAAGUCAAGUCACUUUUUAUUGUCAUUUCGACCAUAACUGCUGGUACAGUACAUAGUAAAAAUGAGACAACGUUUUUUCAGGAGCAUGGUGUUACAUGACACAGUACAAAAACUAGACAGAACUAUGUAAAAAACAACACAGAAAAAAAACUACAUUAGAUUACAAACCUACCCGGGACUGCAUAAAGUACACAAAACAGUGCAGGCAUUACAAUAAACAAGACAAUAGGGCAGUAAGGUGUCAGUCCAGGCUCUGGGUAUUGGGGAGUCUGAUAGCUUGGGGGAAGAAACUGUUACAUAGUCUGGUCGUGAGAGCCUGAACGCUUUUGUGCCUUUUCCCAGACAGCACGAGGGAGAAGAGUUUGUAAGGUGAAGGCUUUGCUUUAUUAUUAUUAUUAUUAUUAUGGACUCCAAUGUGUAUACUUUGGUGAAAAGGUACUGGGAAAACUGAUGGGGAUAAAGUCAUUGGACAAAUUGGCCAACUUCCUGUAGAAAUGGCUACAUAAUUGUUGCAUGCAUUAUUUGGUAUUUAUGGAAUUUCCACGGAUUCCAAAGAAAUUCUAGAGAAUUGGGAAUUCUCAAGUAUUACACCACUAUUCAGGACAGACAAAAAGCAGAGAAUGUAGACUGAUUGUCCUAUUGCUUGUCAUUGGGAAAAUGCUGGAAUCCACUCUUUAAAGAGAUUGCAGAAGGAUGUUUAGAAACUCGGAGGGGUCGGCAUCAGGAGAAGAAGGUGCUGGUGCUGCAGGGUGAUAUUUUGCGGUCAGUUCACAAAACUACUUAAUGCUGGGUACGUCACUUCUGAACUACAGUAGCUGCAAUCUGCAGCCUGUAACUUCCCUUAAGGAAUGUACGUUUGAACUUUCUAAAUGAACUACUAAUUUUAUGAUCUCCUGAAUGAUUUGCCAAGCUCGACUGUCAGGAAUGUAGGCAUGGUGGGUGGGUGAAGUGGGCAAAGUUCAACCAUCACCAGAAGACAGAGCACCAGGUGGACUUCAAGCCACACUGAAGCAACAAGGCCCUAGAGUGGAAAAUAAAUCGGCCUUCAGAGUCAUUACUGUGUGCCAGUCAAGAUACUGCACCUGAAUCCAUCUUAUCCACUUGCAUUUGAACUGUGUCUCUCUCUUCGAGUGUGAUUACAGGAAUUUUGGGUCCCAUGUCAUCAGGUUCAGGAACAGUUAUUGCCCUACAGUCAUCGGGCUACUGGACUGGCUUCACUUGACUCAGCACUGAACUGCCUGUGGACACACCUUCAGAUGUCUGCAGUUCGUGCUCUCAAUAUUAUUUGUUUACUUUUUGUGCACUAUUAGUCCUCUUUUGCACAUUGGAUAUUAGUCAGUCUUUGAUUUUUUUUGUGCAUUCUAAUGUAUUUAUUUAUUUUCCUGUGGGUGCCUUAAAGAAAAUGAAUUUUAAGGGUGUAUAAGGUAUACGUAUUGUUAGAGUGAUUUUUGGGUUUAGGACAUAUACAUUUAGCAAUUGUUUUUGGCUGCCAGCCUUCACAUCUGAAUAUGUAUUGUGGAUUUAAUUUGGAGCGCAACUCUGAACAAUGGCUUCCUAAAGGCAGCGAAUCCCAGCCCAGACAAUGCUGAUUAAAAUUCAUUUGGAUGUCUGUGGUAUGGAUAUGAAUCAAGAGGAGUGAAGGUUGUAUGUAGUUACAAAGAAAGCAUUGCUCAUUCAUUGUAAAUAUUGAAUUGUCCUUUGAUGUUUGGCACGUAAAAUAUCAAGCCCCACGUUGGGCCAGUGAGACCUUAUGACCAAAAGCGUCUCCAUAUGAUGCCUGCUGUACCUUGUUUUGUUGAAUAAAGAAACUGUUUUGUAUCUACACCAGUAAUUUUCACUGGUGACUUCAUUAAUCCAACAACACAUAUUUUGAUAAAAAGCUUAUUUAAAAUUUUGAACUUUUGCAUACAGCUUUAUGGAAGAGAAAUUCUGGCUGAAAAAAUUGUGUGUAUUCUUUAAGUAUGUAACAAUAAAGGCAGAUUAAAAGAUAGCAAUUGAUGUAGUGCAUUUGGAAUUUGAGAGAGUAAAUGGUGCCAAAUAAAAUGCUUUUGUACGAAAUAGCAAUGUUUGAAAUAAGGGAUAAUGAACUAAGGUAACUUUAUUUAUUAUCAAAUAUAUAUAUAUGACACCAGAGAGCAUCCCUGGCUGGUUGGUAUCUUUGUUAUUCAAUGCUGAUUUCCUGAGAGAGCACUCCAUGUAAAUGAGCUUAAUGGUAGGCAGAGCUUUACCCGUGAUGGACUGGUAAUAUCUUUAGCUCUGAAUUAAUCUCAGGUGCGGUAUGGAAUGAAUUCAUCCUGACCAACGAAUUCAGUCCCUGUACAAAAUGCUCAUGCCCUGAGCACGUAUAAAAGAAUAUUGGUCGUUAUUCAGGGUCGAUAGUAUGAGGGCUGUUCCGGGGAAAUGCCAUGCCAAUUCUGCCAUGAAUGUUUUCAACACAGUGUUGACAUAAUUCAGCUUCGAUGCCAUGUCCUGUCAAGCAUUGUGUGAUUCUGGUCUCUUUGACUGACAAAUGUAAAUGGAAAUGUAGAAUAUUUACAUAUAGUUGAGAAGUUUUCAGUUUAAUAUUUCAUCCAGACAACCAAUGCAGCACUUAUUGAGAGGUCAGCCAGAAUAUUGAUCCUGUUACUGUCUAGCUCCGAGGCUGAGGUGGACUUGAUGCUUUAAAGAUUGUCAGCAAGCUCCCACAGAUUUUUAGAGUAAUAGAAAAAUCUAACACAGAAUCAGGUCCUUCAGCCCAUUGAGUUUGUGUUGACCUUUAGUCACCAAUCUAAACCAAUCCCAAUUUAUUCUCCCGAAUUAACCAUCAUCUACUUCCAGAUUGGGGCAAUUUACAAUGCCUAUUAAACCUACUGAACUGAACAUUGUUGGGAAAUGAAAGGAAAUGAGAACACAUGGAAAAAAAAACACAUAGACACAGGAAUAUCAUGCAGCUCCACACAGACUGCACUGAAGUUCAGGAUUAAACUCAGGUAACUGGAACUUUGAGGUACUUUGCUAACCGGAAUAAUAGUUUAACUAAUAAAAAUCCGACUGUGAUCGAUUUACCACUGCAUCCUUGUGUGAAUUGUAUUUUAUCUGACAUUUGUUCUGUAGAUUGCUGUUCCAUCCUUGCAAAUAUAUUCUCUAAGGUAUUGAUAGAUCAGUGUAGCAAAAUAAAAACACUUUUUCAUGUUUUAAAUUUCUUAAGGUGCAUUGCAACUGCAUACAAAUGGAGUUCAGCAAUGAAGCUUUGGUAGCUCACAGAGGAAUUGAAACUUUAAGAUGAAGUCAUGUUGGAUUUCCAGGUGUUAAUUCAUGUUGGGACUGGUCUUGCAGAAUUGGCCUAACACCAGUUUGCUGUUGGAACCUUUUAAGGAAGUAUUUUUUGAAUGUUUAUGUUUGGAAGUUUUAUUUGUUGUGUUAUUCAUCUCCAGAUUAAAAAACCCCAAGUGUUUUGUUAUCUUAGUUUCAGAUACAUUUGAUUUCUUAAAAUUGUUGUAGCUGCAGAUGGUUGAGGGGAUAAGCUCCCAUAUCUAUUAAAUGCUCCCAAUGGUUAUGUAUCUCAAAUAGCCUCUGUCAACCAAGUCCUGCUCCUGGCAUUCGUAUGUGGAUUAGCAGGUCUGGUUGAACUAUUUCCACUGACAGGAGAAGAGUCGAAGGCGGGUUACUGGUGCCUUAAAACCAGUGGUUUUGGGCAGAUGGGGGUUGUCAGCUGUGUUUGGCAGCUCAUCUAGAAGGAAAACUCUAAUCUCAAACCUCCGCUGACUUGCGGCUGUACCCAUUCACGGGGAAGGUUUCGGGAAUAAACAUUGAGGAAAAAUCCAGAACUGGGGUCCGUGAGGCAGUUCUACAUUGAGUUCAACGCUGACUGGCAUCUCCUGUAAUGCCGCUGGUGCCAAACUGUAUCAGUCUCUGCCGUUCCUUUGGAUUCAUCAGCUGCAUGGAGAAGGGGAGCCUGCUACAUGGCCAACAGCUCGCUCUCCACAUUGGACUGCCCUGCCUUGCAUACAGGUUUACAUAUUGUGUUGGCGGCUAGGACACAACAUCCAUAGUCAACCUGGUCACCAGAGGGUCUCAAAGUUACAUGUGACAUACUGGCUCAUUCAAAUAAAUAAAGGAUGGCACAGCAGUGGUUAGCACAGCAAUAAUAUAGUGCCAGCGACCAGGCUCAAUUCCUGCCGCUAUCUAUAAGGAGUUUGUUCUCCCCGUGGGUUUCCUCUGGAAGCUUCAGUUUCCUCCUAUGUUCCAAAGGCUUAUGGGUGAGCAGGAUAAUUGGUCACACACACACACAAUGCUGAAGGGACUCAGCAGGCCAGGCCACAUGUAUGGAAAAGAGUACAGUCGAAGUUUUGUGUCGAGACCCUUCAGCAGGACCCUUGGAUAACUGGUCACUUGGGUGUAAUUGGGCAGCACCCGCUGAAUGGUCCAGAAGGGCCUGUUACUGUGCGGUAUACAGACAUAAAAAACAAACUGAUCGGUUGCCAGUAGCACUGAAGGCUCAACAUUGAAUUAGCUAUCCGUACUUAACCACAAUUAUAUUUAUUUUUCUGUUAAAAUUUCAGCUGUUUGGCAACAUUUUUCUUUGUGAUGAGUGAAGUCUAACUGAUCACAGAUAGUAUGUCAAAGAUUUACUUAUGGUUUAUUACAUACUGUUCUGUACUGCUGUUUGAUCUGCAGGGUUUCGUAGUCAGAUCAUUUUUCGUGACUUUGCUUGGAGGUGCCUAGUUGUAACUUAUUGUUUGUGAGGUGUUUGUAAUCUGAAUGUUUAUUUUCUUUUCAUUGGUUGGUAGUUCAGAAUUUAGUUAUCACUGUAUCCAUUGGGUUAUUGAUUCACUUAUGUUACCUUGUACCUAAUGUUGCUUUGCAUUGCUUUUACAGUAGAAAUUCAGCAUUUUGGAGCUUUUUAUCACGAAGGAAUAGAUACAUGCUGUAUUUACUAUCCAGUCAUCCAUAUAAACCUUUGUUUCUUACUUUUUCGGACCUUUCCUUCAUUUACAUAUUCAAAAUAUGAUCUCUUACACUUUAGAGUAUAGUUUAUCACAUAGAGGAUUCAUAGUUUUAUAACUAUGAAUUAUGAACUAUGAAUACUGCUGCAUUAUAAAUGCAUUUAUGACAAUGUCCUCUUGCUUCUUUUGUUCUUGUGACAGGGAUAACAUUUUAAACAAAGGGAAGUUGCUACUCUCCUUUAUAUCAAAUGGUAAAAUAACACUGACUGUCACCAUUGCUUGUUAUGAAUUUUAAUGUCUGAAUGAUCUUCUCAUCCUUAUAUUUAUUCUGACAUAUAAGAGAGAAAGAACUGAAUAGCUGAACAGCAUAUAUUUUGUUAGAAGUUGUAUUCAUUGAAAUUAAUACGACAAUAGGCCAUUUUCUGGUAAUAAUUUGAGACUACUGCAAUGGGGUGUGUUUUCUCCUUUGCGGUUUUGUAAAUUCAAAACAUUUAACUAAUUCAAAGGGAGACACGGGAGUCCAAAACAUGAGUCUAACUUUAUUCUUUACUUUAAGCAAGACAUGUAUGUAUCACGUGGUAGCGUGAUGACAUUUACAAUUCAUGUGCUUAUAUAUAUAACCUUAGGAAAUCUGGCAAGCCUACAUCACUGUGCAAAAGUCAUGCACAUUUAUAUAUAUAUAAAAAUUAGGGUGCCUUAGACUUUUAUGGUUCCAAGAUUGUCAAGCCGAGGAGGGGUAGUGGGGACACAAGCUCCCACUACCUAAAAGUGCUCCUCAUGGCGUGCGCUUCAAAUAGCCUCUGACAACUAAGUCCAACUCCUGUCCUUCUCGUGUGGCUCGGCCUCUAAGCCUGGCGGAGCUGUUUCUCCUGACAAGAGAAGGGGCGAAGGCUGGUCCUGGUGCCUUAAAACCAGUGCUUUGGGUAGAUGGAGCUUAUCAGCCUGGGAAGGCAGUCCGUCUAAGAGAGUGAAAACUCUGAUUUCAAACCUCCGCUGCCUUGCGGCCAUUCCCACUCAUGGGAAAGGCUUCGGGAGUGAACCCUGCGGACAAAUCCGGAGCUGGAGACCCUAAAGCAGUCUGACGUUGCCUUCAACCUUGCUCUGGCAACUCUUGUGACAAGACGGGCACCAAGCUGUAUCGGCCCUUGACCUACCCUUGGAUAACAUUGGUGUCGUGGAGAGGGGAGACUUGCUGCUUGGGCAACUGUUGGUCUUCCAUACAAACUUGUCCAGGCCUAUGCCCUGGAGAGGACACUUCCAAGACUUUCCAGGUUCAGAUCCAUGGUCUUGCGAGACUAACAGAUGCCACCAUAGACGUUUACGCAGUACUGUAGUACUUUAUGUAUUGCACUGUACUGUUGCAAAAAAAGCAACAAAUUUCAUGACUCAUGUGAGUGAUGAUAAAGCUGAUUCUGAUAGGGGUUUCUAUUGUGGACUGAGAGUGGGAAGGGGGCAGGGAGAGGGGAAUCAUGGUUGAGUAAAGAGGAAGGUAGUGGGAAGAACCAGAGAAACAUUCUGUAAUGAUCAAUAAGCCAAUUGUUUCAAACCAUUUGACCUUGCCAGGUAUCUUAGGCAAUCAUGCCACCCUCCACACCAGCACUUCCCUGCCACCUGUCCCACAACCCUCUCACGGCACUCCUCCCUCACUAUUCCCAAUCAGCAUGGAACCAUGCUUCCACUUGGAAUUUGAGUGGCCGGCUAAUACACAAUAAAUAUUUGAAAGCCUGCUAAACUAUCUCACAGGCUUUGCUGACUGCCAUUCCUUUCAAAUACUUUGAAUACACCUGAAUGUCCCGGAUGUUGAAGUACAGCAGAGGAAUAGACCAUUCAGCCCACAAUGUCAUACUGGACAAGCUAAAAAUCAAAUCAAAAACACUCCAACACUAAUCCCUCCUACUCACACAAUGUCCACAUCCCUCCAUCAUGCUUGCCUAUCCAAACAUCCCUUAAAGCCCUCUUGUGUAUUUCCCUCUACUACCACACCAGGCAACACAUUCCGGGUAUCCAUGACUCUCUGAGCAAAGCAUUUACCCCUCACAUCCCCCUUAAGUCUACCCUCUCACCUCUCACAUUCAAUGCAUGCCCUCUGGUUUGCAGGAACAAUUCAUAAAAAAUUAAUAAUAAAUACAGUAUUGACAACCUUUCAUGAUUAUUUAGCAUUUAAAAAAUCAUAACUAAUCACUUAAAACUUAAUUAUGAAUCUUAAAUAAAGUAACAAAGUUAUAGAGUUAUACAGCACAGAAACAGAUCCUUUGGCCCAGCUCUUCCAUGCUGACCUAAAUUUCUACUAGAGAAAGUUCCAUUUGCCUGCACUUGGCACAUCUCCUUCUAAACCUUUUCAAUUCUUGCACCUUUUGAAAUGUGCUUUAGCCACUGGCAUCCAUGGCAGAAGUGCCUAAGAUCAGAGGUAAGGCUGAUGGUGCAAGGUUAAAAGAGAAAAUGUGGAAGAGUGUUUUCAGCCAAAAUUGUUUGGAAUCUGGAACAUGCCACCUGAGUAAGAUUGUUUGGCUGGUUGCAUCUCAUCAACAACCUUGCACUCAAUGUCAGUAAGACAAGGUAAUAGACUGCGGACUUCAGGAAGAGGAAGUCGUCAAACUCAAGUCUUCAUUGAGGGGUUGGCAGUGGAAAGGGUGAGCACUUUCAAGUUCCUGGCUGUCUCUGAAGAUCUAUACUGGGUUCAGCAUAUUGAUGAAAUUGCAAAGGAGGCACAUCAAUGGCUAUAUUUCAUUAGGAGUUUGAAGAGAUUUGGUAUGUCACCAAGCAUCCAGGAAAUAUCUACCAAUGCAGCGUGGAUAGUCCAACACAUAUGGGCAAACUGAAGUCUAUAGUCACAAAUAAUGCAACUCAGCUAAACAAAUUAAGGUAACACACAAAAUGCUGAAGGAACUCUUCAGGCCAGGCAGCAUCUAUGGAUGAGAACAGCUGCCAAUUUGGGCCAAGACCCUAUACUCUUCCAUAGAUGCUGCCUGGCCUGCUGAGUACAUCCGCAUUUUGUGCGUAUUGCUUGGAUUUCCAGCAUCUGCAGAUUUUCUCUUGUUUGCAAAUAAAUUUAAGAUGGCAAACACAGCUGAAUUUCCAGUAAAUAGUGAUGCCUGGGAUAUUAAUAGUGAUUUACCCUUGUGACAGUAUGCUAAUGAACAUCAGGUUAGAACUCCUUUUUCUGGAGAUGAUUAGUACCUGGAAACUUUCUGGGAGUAACUUGACAUACUACUUGUCAGUCCACACCUGAAUCAUACAUUGUGUUACUUGAGUGUUUAUAUCAUACAGAGCAUCUCAAAAAAUAAAUUUGCUGAUCCAGUGAGCUGUACCUGAUGCAGUGCAUUGUAAAAAAAAAGAAACAUUGUUUCCAGGUCCUGUAUGGGAAGUAAUAUAAAAAAAAUCAAUUCUCAUUGUAUUGACUGAAGUUAAAUCUGUUUCUGACUAAAGAACAUAUGACCUAAAGGAUCUAUCAUCCACAUUAAGUUAACUUGUACUACCUGAAACAAUUGGCUUGAAAAUUUUGCCAAUCGACAACAAUUUAAAUGCUAAUGUCUGUAUAAAUUGAUGUCAGAAUUAGAAUCAGAAUCUUUGUUGUCGCUGACAUGCAGUACAGUACUGCGCAAAAGCCUUGGGGACAUACAGAUAUAGCUUAGGUGCAGAACACUUUUGACACAGGCACAGACACAUCUCUGACACAUCAGGUGUGGUGAACUACAUAUACCUGCCUGGACAGGCCCCCUGCUGACUGCUCCUGUGGCUCCUCCCACAGACCCCUGUAUAAAGGCGAUCAAGGCCUGAGCCCGGCCUCUCGGUCUCCAGGAUAUAGUAUGGUGGUCACUCACUGCUUGUUCCUUCUUCCAGUCAAUAAAAGCCGAUAUCUCGCCUUACGUCUCAGAGUGAGUUAUUGAUGGUGCAUCACCAGGCAAGGUCAUUUGAUUCAAAAUAAGUUGUUUAUUGAUCAUUGCAGAAUGUAUCUCUGGUGCUUUCCAUUCCUACUCCUCUCCCUUUCCCUUUUCCCAAUCAUGAUUCCCCUCUUCCUGUCUCCUUCCCACUCUCAGUCCACAAGAGAGGCCUAUAUCAGAAUCAGGAUUAUCAUCACUCGCGUCCCAUGAAAUUUGUUUUUUUUUUGCAGUAGCAGUACAGUACAAUAUGUAAAAUUACUACAGUACUGUGCAAAGGUCUUGGGCAUCUUAGCUAUAUAUAUGUGCCUAAGAAUAUUGCACACUACUUGGUCAUGAAAUUUGUUUUGGCAGCAGUACAGUGCAAGACAUUAAAGUUACCAUAAUUCAUAAUAAGGUUCAUAAGGCUCAUAGAGUAAAAGGAUGUAUUUUAAGAAGUGAUGUAGUGUUCAUGGCUUCAUGAACAAUAGUGUUAGUAGAAUUCAGAAAUCUGAUGGCAGAGGGGAAGAAGCGGUUCCUAAAGCAUUGAAUAUAGAUCUUCAGGCUAGUGUACUGCUUGCCUAAUGGUAGGAAUGUGAAGAGAGCAUGUCCCAGAUCAUGGAGGUCCUUAAUGAUGAAUUCCACCUUCUUGAUGCACCACCUUUUGAAGACGAUAAAAAAGAAAUUUAACAGACAAACAGAACUUUGCUAAACAGAUAUGCAAUGCAGGCUUUGUAAAAUACCAUCAGCUGACUUUCUGUACAACAGAAUAAGGUGAUUUAGAUUUCUCCGUGUCAUUGUACCUCCUUGAAUGAAUCCUUCAUCUUAUUAUUUAUCUGCACUAAGAAAACAGGGUGUUGGGUGUCCCAUGAGUUUCAAGAACAGCAACAGUGCUUCUUUUUAAUUCAAAGUUUGGCAAAAUAUAUAAUAAUUCCAAACAAUAGACUUCAAUGUCAGAGAUGCACAACCAGCAAGUAUUAUAUAUGCUAAGCAGAUUAGGUAGAAUUUCUGGGCAAAUGUUAACUGAUUCUUUUUGUGCAGGACUAAUGGUUCGCAAAUUUUGGCUUAUAUUUUUAAAAAUCUAUUCCUUUUCCAGAAUUCAAGUUGCAUCUGCAAAUGUGGUGGUGAGCAGUAGUUGUUCACAACUGCAGUUCUUUUGUUUAUCAGACUCCUCAAUACCCGAAGCCUGGACUGACACCUAGCCCUACUGUCCUGUAUAUUAUUUAUUGUAAUGCCUGCACUGUUUUUGUGCACUUUAUGUAGUCCUGUGUAGGUCUGUAGUCUAGUGUAGAUUUCUCUGUGUUGUUUUUUUUAUUAUGCAGUUCAGUCUAACUUUUGUACUGUGUCAUGUAACACCAUGGUCCUGAAAAACGUUGUCUCAUUUUUACUAUGUACUGUACCAGCAGUUAUGGUUGAAAUGACAAUAAGAAGUGACUUGACUUGACUUGAAAUAUUCCCACAAAGCCCUUGGGUAAGGAGUUUCAGAUUUAGGCACAGCAAGAAUGAAAGACAGAAUAUUUCUAAGUCAGGAUUGUUGAAAUGUACUUGUAGUAACAACAUGGCAUUUUUAUCUGUAACAAAAUGGAGCCUGUGUUGUACCACAGUGCUUUGCUAAUAGUGUUCGUGUAACUUUAUGCUGAUGAAACCUGAGUCCUAGAUAAACUGCAAACCAACUGAUGAUUACUGCAAGAAUGUUAAAUACACAGAUUAAGCAGAUGAAUUGAAUGCACCAUGUCCUUGAACUUGUGUAUAAAGGAGUAACUAUGCUGUCUGUUUUUUUGAAGCUGUCACUGGCUCUUGUGCAGUGCUAGUCUUCCCUUGCAGCGUAAAAUAAACACAAAUUUGGUUAAUCCACUUUGAGUUAAUUAUUGUUUGCUAUAAGGUGUAAUGAAAGGUGUUCAACAGGAUCAAAUGUUACUUGACAGGGAACUAUAUAUUGUUCUCAAACAUCUACUCCCAUUGAUAUUUAGUUGUAGAUAUAGGUGAUUUGAGAGUUUUCCUACUGGAAUAGCCUGGGCAUGUUACUGCAGUGUAUUCAGCAGGCAGUACACACAGCAGCCACUGUGUCAGAGAAAAUAAUGCUUAGAGUGAAGGACAUAAUGUAAAUCUAGUGCCUUAGUUCAUGUCAAGAAGACUGCAAUACCAUUGGUGAAGUCAAACGGAGGUAGAGGAGCAUUGCAUUGUCAGUAGAGGAGUCAGUGCAUUGUCAAAUAUUCAGGGAUUCACCUUUACGUCUGAAUGAAUGUGCCACAGUUGUUAUCAAUUUCACCAAGACCCGUGCCAUGAGAGUGAGCCUUCAAGAACAUACUGGACAUACCCAAACCGAAAACCCAUGGGUGAACAAGGAGAUUUGUAGUCUGCAGAGGGCUAGAUCUGUACCAUUCAAGAUUGGUGAUCCAGAACUACACAAGAAAUCCAGCCUCCACUUUCAAAAGGCAGCAUCCAUCAUGAAGGAUACCCAGCACCCAGGGAAAGCCCUCUUGUUAUUCUUACCAUCAAGGAGAAGGUGCAGGAGCCUGAAGACACACACUCAACAUUUCAGGCACAACUUCUUCCCCUCCACCAUCAGAUUUCUGAAUGAACAAUAAACCCAUGAACACUACCUCACUAUUUUUCCUCUCUUUUUGAACUACUUAUUUAAUUUAAAUUUGUAUGUAUAUAUUUCUCAUUCUAAUUUACAAUUUUUUUGUUAUACAUUGCGAUGUAUUGUUGUUACAAACCAACAAAUUGCAUGACAUAUGCCGGUGAUAUUAAACAUGAUUCUGAUUCUGUAAUACAAGUCUAAUGUCUUAGGUCAUUGGUUCUCAACUUUUCUCUGCUUGUGGCACAAUUGUGAUUUUCAUUCACCACUGUUGACCCCACCCUCCAUAGUCUCCAAUAGUUGCUAAAGUUUUUUGUCAACUGUACUAAUUAUUCUAAUAUGCAGUUAAUACUCAUGUUUCAACACUUUGGUAUUAUUAUAUGUUAAAGUAAAUAUUACAAGUGUAUAAGAGAAAUAAAACUAUUUCAAAGCUUUGAAUUGGGUAUUUUAUUUAUAACCAUUCUUCCAACUAGCAAUAAAAAACUGCUUAAUAUUGUUCC